AUGGCGUUCGCCAACGAGUACAAGUACGUGGAGGCCCAUGGCAACACCAAGUUGCACGUCAUCCACACCAACGACAAGAAGCAGGUGGCGAUCACCCUCGCGCAGUACGAGCGCCACCUAAGCCUCCAGCGCCACAAGAUCGUCGGCAUUGAUCUCGAGUACAACAACGAGCCUGAAGCGACGCAGAAACCCACCCUCUGCCAACUCUCCAUCGGCAAGAAACACCCGGUGCUUCUCUUCCAACUUAGCGCCGCUGAAAGGUGCAUCGUCUUCGACAACUUCCUCGCCGACCCCAGGUACACCUUUGCAGGCUUCUCCAUCGACGGCGAGAAAAAAAGGCUAGAGCCCGUCAAUCUGGAGGAGAAGAUCACCGACGACGAGCACAAGCGCUGGGCCACCCUACCUCUGUCCAUGAGGCACAUCGAGUACGCGGCAAAGGACGCCUACGCAGCAACAAACACGAGAGAGAAGAGGAGAGUCAUGGCGGAUGCACCUCUUUACAAGCAGCGCCGCAGGUAUACCAGGGAGCUCCACGACUACGACCUCCACAGCAACCACAAGCUCCACGUCGUUCGCAGAAGCAAGGGUGAAGACGUGGACAAGAUGCUGUCCACGCUCAGGAGGAAGCUCGGCGGAAUGCCCGUCAAACUAGUCGGCGUUGAUGUCGAGUACACGCACUACGUGAAGCCACUGCGGGCAGCAGUGCUCCAGCUAUGCGUAGAAAAAGAAUGCCUUUUCUACCACAUCUCUGCAGCUAAAGGCAUGCCAAUGGAACUUGACAAAUUCCUCAUGAAUGGUGAGUACACCUUCGUCGGAUUCGCCAUUGAAGGAGACAAAAGCGUAGUGCGGACAUUCUGUUUAUCCAACAAUAGGACGCACGCAACCCCAGAGCCAUACCCCUAA
rnacentral:rRNA from 1 species